rnacentral:rRNA from 1 species
UAAGGAAUAUUGGUCAAUGGAGGCAACUCUGAACCAGCCAUCCCGCGUGCAGGAUGACGGCCCUAUGGGUUGUAAACUGCUUUUAUUUGGGACGAAAAUUAGGUAUUUAUACUUAACUGACGGUACCUUAUGAAUAAGCACCGGCUAACUCCGUGCCAGCAGCCGCGGUAAUACGGAGGGUGCAAGCGUUAUCCGGAAUCACUGGGUUUAAAGGGUGCGUAGGCGGCAAAAUAAGUCAGAGGUGAAAGCCCGGCGCUCAACGUCGGAAUUGCCUUUGAUACUGUUAUGCUUGAAUCAUGUUGAGGUCGGCGGAAUGAGUCAUGUAGCGGUGAAAUGCAUAGAUAUGACUUAGAACACCAAUUGCGAAGGCAGCUGGCUGGAUAUGAAUUGACGCUGAGGCACGAAAGCGUGGGGAGCGAACAGG